rnacentral:rRNA from 1 species
CAUUUAUUAAAUUAAAAACCAACGCCCUCCGGGGCUCACUGGUGAUUCAUGGUAACUGCUCGAAUCGCACGGCCCUGCGCCGGCGAUGGUUCAAUCAAGUUCCUCCCCUAUCAACUUUCGAUGUUUGGGUAUUGGCCAAACAUGGUUUCCACGGGUGACGGAGGGUCAGAGCUCGACCCCGGAGAGGGGGCAUGAGAAACGGCCCCCACAACUACGGUUAGGCAGCAGUCGAGAAAAUUACCCCAUGCCGACACGGUGAGGUAGUGACAAUAAAUACCGAUGCAGGGCCCUUCCGGGUCUUGCAAUUGGAAUGAGUACAGUUCAAACCCCUUAACGAGGAACAAUUGGAGGGCAAGUCUGGUGCCAGCAGCCGCGGUAAUACCAGCUCCAAUAGCGUAUACUAAAGUUGUUGUGGUUAAAAAGCCCGUAGUUGAACCCCGGGCCCGGCCGCCCGGUCCUCCUCACCGAGCGCACUGGCGUGGCCGGGUCCUUCCCCCUGCGGAGCCGCAUGCCCUUCGCUGGGCGUGCCGGGGAAGCAGGACGUUUACCGUGAAAAAAUUAGAGUGCUCAAAGCAGGCCUUUGCUCGGAUACCGCAGCAUGGAAUAAUGAAAUAGGACGUCGUGGCCCUAUUUUGUUGGUUUCUAGGACCGCCGUAAUGAUUAAUAGGAGCAAGCGGGGGCGUCAGUAUUCGGCCGUCAGAGGUGAAAUUCUUGGAUUGCCCGAAGACUAACUACUGCGAAAGCAUUCGCCAAGUGUGUUUUCAUUAAUCAGUUGGACGAAAGUUGGGGGAUCGAAGACGAUCAGAUACCGUCGUAGUCUCAACCAUAAACUCUGCCGACUAGGGAUCGGGCGGCGUUAAUCAAUUGACCCGCUCGGCACCUACGAGAAAUCAAAGUGC